UGAUGAUUUAUGUUUAAAGUUCUGCAUUUAACUUUGCAUUUUGUGUCUUUCAGGAUAUACACCUGUUAUAAUCAGUGUGCUCACUGUUCUAUUUGUUGUAUCCAUAGUGGUGGCCUUUACACAUAAGUAUUUCCUGAGGAGAAAGGGCUCAUAUGACACCAGAGAAGACCUGAAGCCAGCAUUAUUACCCUUCCAAACUCUUUAGCUUGCC